rnacentral:rRNA from 1 species
UACGGAGGAUGCGAGCGUUAUCCGGAAUCAUUGGGUUUAAAGGGUGCGUAGGCUGGUAUUUAAGUCAGUGGUGAAUUUCGUGCUUAACAUGAGAGCUGCCAUUGAUACUGGAUACCUUGAGUGUAUUGGAUGUGGGCGGAAUGUGUUGUGUAGCGGUGAAAUGCAUAGAUAUGACACAGAACACCGAUAGCGAAGGCAGCUCACAAAGU